rnacentral:rRNA from 1 species
AUUGAAAGCUGGCGGCAGGCCUAACACAUGCAAGUCGAACGGUAACAGGAAGCAGCUUGCUGCUUCGCUGACGGGUGGCGGACGGGUGAGUAAUGUCUGGGAAACUGCCUGAUGGAGGGGGAUAACUACUGGAAACGGUAGCUAAUACCGCAUAACGUCGCAAGACCAAAGAGGGGGACCUUCGGGCCUCUUGCCAUCGGAUGUGCCCAGAUGGGAUUAGCUAGUAGGUGGGGUAACGGCUCACCUAGGCGACGAUCCCUAGCUGGGCUGAGAGGAUGACCAGCCAAACUGGAACUGAGACACGGUCCAGACUCCUACGGUAGGCAGCAGUGGGGAAUAUUGCACAAUGGGCGCAAGCCUGAUGCAGCCAUGCCGCGUGUAUGAAGAAGGCCUUCGGGUUGUAAAGUACUUUCAGCGGGGAGGAAGGCGAUAAGGUUAAUAACCUUGUCGAUUGACGUUACCCGCAGAAGAAGCACCGGCUAACUCCGUGCCAGCCGCCGCCGUAA